AUAGUUUAUUAAUUGAAUAAAAUUUAUUCCCUAAGCGGGCUGAUGCGCAAAGCGCAUGUGGACGUGUUGCUGGUUUGAUCGAGAGUUCAGGCGCAAGUUGGAACCGGAAAUCGAUCUGGACGCGCGACCGAUGCGUGGACCGUGUCAGCUGACUGCUCGAUAUGAAAGUGUUGUGCAUUUCGUCCGGCGUUGAAAGGUUAACUUAGAACUGGCACGGACAAGUGGAUUCUGACUGUUUAAUUGAAACAAAGCAUUGUGACGGCCGUCGACCGGUGUUGACAAAAUGUGAUUUCAUCUUCAAACAAACCUGGAUAUUUACGAACAUGAUUUUUCUUG
rnacentral:ncRNA from 1 species